rnacentral:lncRNA from 1 species
GGAAACCAUCCUCCUGAAGCGUGUGUGCACGCACAACACACAUGCACUCUCACACUCUUCACAGCCACCCCACUCCCUCACGCAUGUACACACAUUCACACCCACCCCCACUCACAUACAAACUCUCACACAUACACAUGCAAACACUUGGAUACACACACCCAUGCCUAUUCUCACACACACACACUCAUACACCUAUACACACACAUGCACACACUCGACACACACCCUCAUGCCUAUUCACACACACCUAUACACACACACUUGACACACACCCAUGCCUAUUCUCACACUCACAUACCUAUACACACAUGCACACACUCGACACACCCAUGCCUAUUCUCACACACACUCAUACACCUAUACACACACACACUCUCGACACACCCAUGCCUAUUCUCACACUCACACACCUAUGCACACACUCGACACACCCAUGCCUAUUCUCACACUCACACACCUAUACACACACAUGCACACUCAACACACCCAUGCCUAUUCUCUCACACACAUGCACACAUGACACACACACCCAUGCCUAUUCUCACACACACCUAUACACACAUGCACACACUCGACACACACCCAUGCUUAUUCUCACACACACACCCCUAUACACACACAUGCACAUACUCAACACACACACCCAUGCCUAUUCGCUCACACACCUAUACACACACAUGCACAUGACACACACACCCAUGCCUAUUCUCACACACUCACACACCUAUACACACACAUGCACAUACUCGACACACAGCCAUGCCUAUUCUCUCACACACACGCUCACACACCUAUACACACAUGCACACACUCAACACACGUGCUCAUCCAUAGUCACACGUUUACACAUAUGCACACAUUCGGAUACACGCACACCCGGUACCUUCACACACACAUGCACACACUCAAUACACACAUACCCAUGCACAUUCACACAUACACAUGGACACACUCAGAUACACACACCUAUAUACCUUCACACACACAUGUGCACACUCGAUAUACACAUGCUUAUGCAUAUUUGUGCACGCACACUCAUAUACACACACACCCAGUACCUUCACACACAUGCACACAAUACACACAUACUCGUGCACAUCCACACACUUGAUACACAAUUUGCACACACAUCCAUGCACACACUUGAUACAUAAACACCCACAUUCACAUAUUUUCACACACGCACACACUUGAUACACACCCAUGCACAUUCACACAUGCUUGAUACAUGCACACACACAAUUCACACACAUACACACACUUGAUACACCCCAAUUCACAGACAUGCACACACUUGAUACACACACUUUCACACAUCCCCACACACAUGCACACACUUGAUACACACACAUUCACACAUUCUCACAGACAUGCACACACAUGCACACACUUGAUACACACACACUCACAUUCUCACAGACAUGCACACACAUGCACGCACUUGAUACACAUUCACACACACAUGCACACACUUGAUACAUACAUUCAUACAUUCUCACACACGCACACACUGGAUACAUACCCAUGCACAUUCAUACACAUGUACACAUGCACACACUUGAUGCACACACACCUAUGCAUAUUCACACACACACAUAUACAUGCACACACAACACACACACCCAUGCACAUUCACACACACAGUACACACCUCAUACACAUGCACAUGACAUACAUUCACACACUCAGGCAUACACACAUACUCUUUCACACUUCUCAACACAAAACAUACCCAUUGACACACACUCUUGCACCCGCACUCAGGCACACACACAUUCAUUCCCACCCAUCUACACACACGCGCUCACACACUUCCUGCACCGAGCAGCGCUCACCCCCUGGGAACAGAGCAGGUUUGGGGUGGAGGUGGGCUGCUGUCCUGAUUCUGUGGGCGACCCUGCACCCCUCCCACUGUGCCAUGACCCUCACUGGCUCAAUCACUCCUUCCUGGUGCUGACUGA